AAGAAUUACUAUGAAGAAGACAGUUGAGACAGAUUUUAUGCCACCAAAAUCCUCCUCAUAGCCCUCAGCUAAGCAGAAGCCCCAGGGGGGUCAGACACAGGCUUAGCAGUAGAGCCACAAACACACCCGCAAAAUGUACUGCCAUCAAUUUCAGAAGUUUUCUUCGAAAGGCAGAGAAAUUCUUUUGCAAGUGAAUGUACAGUGGAAUGAGUGAGUAGAAGCAGGGACUCGCUGGUUUCAUAUGAACAAAUUAAAAGCCAGCAAUUUGAGUAGAGUGCCCAGUCCACAAAAGACAGGAUGAAUGAUGAGUCUGAUCUCAAUAGCGCCCUCUAUGAUAGUGUCAGGAAUGCAGUUGAAGCAUUGAAUAGUAACAGUAAAGAGAAUUACUAUGAAGGAGAUGAGACAAUUUAUGCCACUAAAUCCACCCAGCAGCCCUCAGCAAGGCAGAAACCCUUGGGGGUCACACAUAGGCUUAGCCUAGUGAGCCUUGGACACAGCCGCAAAAUAUACCACAACCUAUUUCAGAAGUUUUGCACGAAAGACAGAAAAAUUCAUUUAUAUACGAAAGCACAGUAAAGUCUAUGUUGAGUAGAAGCAGGGCCUCGCUGGUUUCAGAUGAACCAAUUAAAAGCCAGCAAGUUGAGCAGAGUACCCAGUCCACAUAUGACAGCAUGAAUGAUGAGUUUAAUCUCAAUAGCGCCCUCUAUAAUAGUCAGGAAUGCAGUUGAAACAUUGAAUAGUAACAGUAUAGAGGCUACUUCUAGCGAAUCUAUCAAUGAUGUUGAAGAAACAAAAAGUGCAAUUGGGAGACAGAGGCCUGUAGCCAGUGUGUGCUGGCAGGAUGCGUGGCCUGAUCUAAAGAUUCUCUCCACAGCCACACAAUGCAUGGUGACAGUUCUAAAGCAUAGGCAAGGUCCACCUGAGUAUUGACCUUCGACCUGAUGGUGAACAUACUCAAACUGAGGUUAAAAGAGAUGUGGGAUAGGUCUGUGAAACAAAAUUACAAGCCAUGGAAACGUGAGAACAGCUGCAUGUAAGUUACCUUGAAGUGAGUCAUUCUUGUGUUCAUGUUAAUUUUGUGAGCCGAACAAAAUGUAUUAAUAUUGUUGAAAAUUUACAGAUCCAGUACCAAUAGAGGGUUUUGGCGAUGACUACUGUUUACUGGCGGUCACUGGACUGAACUUGGGUAUACAUGAAAAACAUUGCAGUGUGAUAGCAUAGGGAAAAAUGGCCCCAGUAAAAAUGGCCCCAGUAAAAAUGGCCA